GACGAACGCUGGCGGCGUGCUUAACACAUGCAAGUCGAACGGAAAGGCCCUGCUUUUGUGGGGUGCUCGAGUGGCGAACGGGUGAGUAACACGUGAGUAACCUGCCCUUGACUUUGGGAUAACUUCAGGAAACUGGGGCUAAUACCGGAUAGGAGCUCCUGCUGCAUGGUGGGGGUUGGAAAGUUUCGGCGGUUGGGGAUGGACUCGCGGCUUAUCAGCUUGUUGGUGGGGUAGUGGCUUACCAAGGCUUUGACGGGUAGCCGGCCUGCGAGGGUGACCGGCCACAUUAGGACUGAGAUACGGCCCAGACUCCUACGGGAGGCAGCAGUGGGGAAUAUUGCACAAUGGGCGGAAGCCUGAUGCAGCAACGCCGCGUGCGGGAUGACGGCCUUCGGGUUGUAAACCGCUUUCGCCUGUGACGAAGCGUGAGUGACGGUAAUGGGUAAAGAAGCACCGGCUAACUACGUG
rnacentral:rRNA from 1 species